rnacentral:lncRNA from 1 species
AUGUCAGAGGUGCAGGAGACCUCCUGUGCAGCCCCUUUGGUCACACCGAAGGCCCAGCCCAGCAGCCCACCUUCAGAUGCUCUGGGAAGAAGUGGGAGCUCAGGGCAGCUUUUCCAUGGUGCUUGUUGCUGGGCCUGCGCAGCUGAUCCCAAAAAGCCAGAGCUCAGAGGCGAGCUCCACAAGGUCCUGGGCAGCCCUGUGCUCUCUGCCCCUUCUUGUAACCGCUGCGGCUUUCUUAUUUGCAGUUUCCUGCCCAACCAUGAGAUGCCAGAAUAUUGCUUGGCUGAAACAGCUUCGCAGCGAGAGGCUCGUGAGCGCCUGCUCUCCUACAUCCAUUUUUCUCCCAUCCAGUCAAGAGGCCUUAGUCUGGUGGCAGUAAAAAGGGGACUUCAGCGAGGGCUGUAAGGUGAGCAUCUUUGGGAACUGACAGCGUGAUGCCCUGCGCUCCCAUUUGUCUGUGAGGAGCCCUUGCCUGGGCCCAGGCACACUGAGCUCCAUCCGGAUGUACUGUGGCCCGGCAGAGGAGCCCGGCUCUUGGUUCUCUCUUCUUCCUUGUGACUUGAGGCUCACUACUAGCUGAGAGAGAACUGUGACACAGAACUGCCUUGUGCUGCCUGCACGGGGCUGUUCCUGGGGAGCACCAGUGUGCAGCUGCCUGCUGGGAGGAGACGUCCAUGGCGAAGCAUGGAAGCGAAAGCGAGGGAGCAAGACAAAGUCAGGCUCCCUGCUCUGCAGGGCCAGCUGGCAGCAGCACUGGUACGUGCUCCACGUGGACAUAAAUGAUGGCGUGACGGGUUGAGAAAUACAGCGCUACGGAGAGGGAGUCCUAGGCGAGCCCCCCAAACAAGUUCACCCUCUCCUUUCCUUCUGGUGAGGGACUCCCCCCUGCUCCCACGGCGCUUUGCUUUCAUGCUCCUGCCCAUGGCCUGGGGAGGGGAAGCUGUCCACAGAUGCCAAAGGGCAGGGGAUGGGCUGUGCUUUGUGGAGGGCACUGAGGGGCCUCCCCGCAUACUGCACACAGUCUUGGCCUGCGCUGCUCACCAUGGAGCUUGACCUGGGCCCCUCCAACCUGAGCCCCAUCGACGGGAGGGCGCUGCUGGCCAAGGCGACGUGGGCUCUCAUCUGCCUCUACUU